UGCUUGCAUUCACCGUAAGAAGUUGAGUGGCGGACGGGUGAGUAACACGUGGGUAACCUGCCUAAAAGAAGGGGAUAACACUUGGAAACAGGUGCUAAUACCGUAUAUCUCUAAGGAUCGCAUGAUUCUUAGAUGAAAGAUGGUUCUGCUAUCGCUUUUAGAUGGACCCGCGGCGUAUUAACUAGUUGGUGGGGUAACGGCCUACCAAGGUGAUGAUACGUAGCCGAACUGAGAGGUUGAUCGGCCACAUUGGGACUGAGACACGGCCCAAACUCCUACGGGAGGCAGCAGUAGGGAAUCUUCCACAAUGGACGCAAGUCUGAUGGAGCAACGCCGCGUGAGUGAAGAAGGUCUUCGGAUCGUAAAACUCUGUUGUUAGAGAAGAACACGAGUGAGAGUAACUGUUCAUUCGAUGACGGUAUCUAACCAGCAAGUCACGGCUAACUACGUGCCAGCAGCCGCGGUAAUACGUAGGUGGCAAGCGUUGUCCGGAUUUAUUGGGCGUAAAGGGAACGCAGGCGGUCUUUUAAGUCUGAUGUGAAAGCCUUCGGCUCAACCGGAGUAGUGCAUUGGAAACUGGAAGACUUGAGUGCAGAAGAGGAGAGUGGACUCCAUGUGUAGCGGUGAAUGCGUAGAUAUAUGGA
rnacentral:rRNA from 1 species